CAUCAGUAAUGGUUUUGAAUACACCUGUGCUUUUCCUGCUAUGACAUGUCGACAGGUCAACAUGUCUGCUAUGAAAAAGAUCAUUUUGCAGACCUGUAAAGUUGUCGUCGAUUGGCAUCGCCGUACCGCGCCGCGCCGAGAGCAUUUGUGACGGUGAAGGCCGGGCCGGAGCCGGAGUGAGGGGCAGCUGCCAAUGCUGGAACCUGUGUGACAGUUGUAAAUGACUGGCCCGAUCGUCUCCUUGUAGUAAUUAUCUAAAUGGGCUCAUUCAAAACCUCUUCAUUGUGGAAUCAGUUAAUUAAUUAGCUGUUUCACUGACAGGAUAAUGCAUCUAUAACAGCCACCCAUCUACUCACUGGAAACCCCC